AUGAUAUUUAAUAUUUAUAUUUUUUGUAUGUGUGUACAUUUCAGAAUGACAAAGCCAAAAUUCAGGCCUUGCCCAAGCUGCCAAGUCCGUCAGCAGGCCAACCGCAAAACAUGCAGUGCUUGUUUUGCCACACUGCCAAGCAAGCGGUUAUUAAAAACUGCAAAAAUUAAUGAUGACUGGGGCCAGAGGGUCGUCAAAAACAAAAAUGCAUCUCGGGUGGUGGCCUCUGCCCAAAUAGCUGUCCAAAAACUUUCUGCCUUGGGCUAUAUGCCCAUAUUAUUUAUCAGCCAGAGGCACAAGGGCACAGGCAAGUUGAUGGCAGAUGUAGUCACGCAUCUGCCACCGACGCAAAACAACACACGUUUCUUAACCAGCAUGAAGAGGGCAUAUGACUUCAUAAUCAAACUGGAUGAUGUGCCCCAGCCCCAGCCCCAGCAAGACCAGCCCCUGCCCCUAGACCGGCUAAUCCCACAAGACCAGCCCCUAGACCAGCCCCUGCCCCUAGACCAGCCCCAGCAAGACCAGCCCCUGCCCCUAGACCAGCUAAUCCCACAAGACCAGCCUACCCCAACAGACCAGCAAAUUAUUACACUUGAACUAUUUACGAUCGACUCUCAGGCUCAGCAGCAUGUGGAGCCUCUACCACCCAGGAAAAGACAAAGUAAGUAAUCUUGCAUUGCACCACAUCUGUAAAUUUGUCCUAUGUUUUUUUGCAAUCAGUGCACAAUAUAAAACAAGUUACACAUGGUGAAUUUCACCUCUUUUAAUUAAUUAAGCCACUCCUCCAAGAUACUGAAUAUACAAUUCUCAACCUUUUUCCCUUGCAUCUUAAGCCCCACUAUCCACCCCGCGCCUACCAUCCACCCCAGGCCAAGGCAGACGAGCCCCACCAUCCAUCCAACCUCAACUAACAGAAAAGACAAAGUAAGUAAUCUUGCCUUGCACCCCAUCUGUAAAUUGGUCCCAUGGUUUUUGUAAUCAUUGUAUUAAUAUAAAAUAAGUUAACCAAUGUGAAUUUCACCCCCUUCUAUUAAUUAAGCCACUUCCCCAAGAUACUGAAUAUAUAAUUCUUAAUCUUUUUCCCCUUGCACCCUAAGCCACAGGUAAAGGAGCCACACAGGCCCCACCCUCUACCCUGGCCAAAAAAAGAAGAAAACAAAAAAAGCAAGUAGACAUUCUUUGAACCCCAUGUGUAUAUUUGUUUCUAUUCUUUGCACCCCAUGUGUAUAUCAGCAGCCAUGUGUUGGGUGUAAAGGUGUUUUUGCAUGUAGCCCCCUUUAAUUGGACCAAACUCAGGGUGUAUUCACACUUGGUCUUUGUCAGCCCUCAAAGUGAACUAAGAACAGUGACUCAUAUAUGAACACCUCAAGCAAACUCAGACCCAUUUGAAAUGAACCAAACUUUUUUUUGCCUUUGUCAUUUAAGGUUGCAAAUGCAGUCGACAGACAAUUUAUCCAUACGAUAAAAAUAUUGGGAAGACGGAUGAAUGGGGUAAGAUGUAGAACCAUAUUUUCCAUUAGGCUGUCUGAUUAUCUCUUGACUCAUGUCUGUCUCAUCUUUCAAUCCACAUGUGACAAAACAGUAACACUGAGCAGUAGGUAUCAAACUUUUUCAACUAUCAACCCUCUCACAAGUGCUACCCCUUACGAAAAAAAAGUAUACUUCAAGUUAAUUUUAUGAAGUAUACUUAAGUAAUGUUCAAGUAUAUUUUUAAGUAUACUUUAUGUAGUAAGUAUACUAGUAUCAAUGUGUACUUGUAGUAGACUUGUAAGUGUACUAUUUCAAUACUGCUUGGGGCUAAAUUGGCCCACUUUUAGUAUAAAAGUAUACGUUUAAGUGUACUAAAAGUGUACACAACUAGGUUUCUCAUUUUU
ensembl:lncRNA